CUAGCUGUAAACGAUGGAUACUAGGCGUUGAGAGUAUCGACCCUCUCAGUGUCGUAGCUAACGCGUUAAGUAUCCCGCCUGGGGAGUACGCGCGCAAGCGUGAAACUCAAAGGAAUUGACGGGGGCCCGCACAAGCGGUGGAGUAUGUGGUUUAAUUCGAUGCUAACGCGAAGAACCUUACCAGGGCUUGACAUGUCCGGAACCCUGCCCAAAGGCGGGGGUGCCUACGGGAACCGGAACACAGGUGGUGC
rnacentral:rRNA from 1 species